AACUUUCGCCAAUGGAUCACUUGGCUCUCGCAUCGAUGAAGAGCGCAGCGAAAUGCGAUAAGUAAUGUGAAUUGCAGAAUUCAGUGAAUCAUCGAAUCUUUGAACGCACCUUGCGCACUUUGGCUAUUCCGAAGGGCAUGCCUGUUUGAGUACCAUGAACACCUCAACUCUCACGGUUUCUCGUGAUGAACUUGGACUUGGGGGUUUUGUUGGCCUGUGGUCAGCUCUCCUCAAAUGAAUUAGCUUGCCGGUGUCUGGCGGCAUCAUGGGUGUGAUAAUAAUCUACGCUUGUGAUCGUCUGCGAGGUAAACCUCUGGUCUGCAGAGGUUCGCCGGAGCUUAUAGAUGUCUCUCCUCAGUGAAGACAGCUGUUUGAAGUUCGAUCUCAAAUCAGGUAGGACUACCCGCUGAACUUAAGCAUAUCAAUAAGCGGAGGC
rnacentral:misc_RNA from 1 species